CCUACGUGAGGCAGCAGUGGGGGAUAUUGCACAAUGGGGGGAACCCUGAUGCAGCGACGCCGCGUGGGUGAAGGAGCGUUUCGGCGCGUAAAGCCCUAUCGGCAGGGAAGAAGAUGACGGUACCUGACCAAGAAGCACCGGCUAACUACGUGCCAGCAGCCGCGGUAAUACGUAGGGGGCAAGCGUUAUCCGGAUUCACUGGGUGUAAAGGGAGCGUAGACGGCCAUGCAAGCCAGGGGUGAAAGCCCGGGGCCCAACCCCGGGACUGCCCUUGGAACUGCAUGGCUGGAGUGCGGGAGGGGCAGGCGGAAUUCCUGGUGUAGCGGUGAAAUGCGUAGAUAUCAGGAGGAACACCGGCGGCGAAGGCGGCCUGCUGGACUGCGACUGACGUUGAGGCUCGAAAGCGUGGGGAGCGAACAGGAUUAGAUACCCGUGUAGUC
rnacentral:rRNA from 1 species